CUUCCUGGAUGAACUGCUUCUUUUACAUGCUAAGUUGAGACGAAGAUCCUUGAUUACUCCGCUUCAACCCUCUCUGGUUGAGAACAGUGAGACUUGCAGUUCAGAUAGUGCAAAUGUGUGAUAAGAUCAGCUGACACUCCCUUGGCCAGAAAGAGCACUGAGAGAGAACUUGUCCUUACUGACACUGCUCUUACUGACAUUAUAGACUGCUGUGGGCUGUUUACUACCAGUGCAGAAAAUUACACAGGGUGCAGGGGUGACAUGCGUCCACUAUACAAAUCCUAUCUGCCCGGGGGUGCAGCAGAGGACCCAGGAGAGAGCACAUGGGCCCUUACAGACCCAGGAGAGAGCGCAUGGGCCCUUACAGACCCAGGAGAGAGCGCAUGGGCACACGCACCCCUUACAGCGCAGACCCAGGAGAGAGCAGCAAUUUUGUAUGGAGCUAGAAUCAUGGACUGAACCUUUAAAACACUGUAGCUACCAGAACGGACCUCUCAGCUGGUCCCCAUGCGAAGCUGUGAUGACAGUAAAUAUGGGUGCUUAGCACUGUGCCUAGACUGAGUCACUGGCUUAAGGGCUCUCUUAAGAGCUCUCAUGCUUGCUUCAGUUGGAAUUCCAUUAAAAUAUCAUAGAGAUAAGAAAGCCCUCACACACACACACAGAGGGAGAGAGAGAG